UACGUAGGUGGCGAGCGUUGUCCGGAAUUACUGGGUGUAAAGGGCGUGUAGGCGGGUAGAUAAGUCAGAUGUGAAAUACCGGGGCUCAACCCCGGGGCUGCAUUUGAAACUGUCAAUCUUGAGUGCCGGAGAGGAAAGCGGAAUUCCUAGUGUAGCGGUGAAAUGCGUAGAUAUUAGGAGGAACACCAGUGGCGAAGGCGGCUUUCUGGACGGUAACUGACGCUGAGGCGCGAAAGCGUGGGGAGCAAACA
rnacentral:rRNA from 1 species